AGACGAGCUGAGAGGAGGUGCAUGGCCGUCGCCAGUUCGUGCCGUGAGGUGUCCUGUUAAGUCAGGCAACGAUCGAGACCCGCAUCCUCUGUUGCUACUAGCUUUGUGCUGGGCACACUGAGGAGACCGCCACUGAUAAAGUGGAGGAAGGAGCGGGCCACGGCAGGUCAGUAUGCCCCGAAUCUCCCGGGCCACACGCGAGCUGCAAUGGCAGGUACAAUGGGUUCCGACCUCGAAAGGGGAAGGUAAUCUCGAAAGCCUGCCGUAGUUGGGAUUGAGGGUUGAAACCCACCCUCAUGAACAUGGAAUCCCUAGUAAUCGCGUGUCACUAACGCGCGGUGAAUACGUCCCUGCUCCUUGCACACACCGCCCGUCGUUCCACCCGAGCGACUCUUGGGUGAGGUGCCGUCUUUGAUGGCGGUAUCGAAUCUGAGUUUCGUGAGGGGGGAAAAGUCGUAACAAGGUGGCCGUAGGGGAACCUGCGGCCGGAUCACCUCCU
rnacentral:rRNA from 1 species